rnacentral:lncRNA from 1 species
AAAAAAUAUCCUCACAUACUUGAAAUAAUUCAAUACUUUAGUAAUGGAGAGUUUGAAGCUUGCCUCAGUACUUACCAUUGUUUUAAUGGUUCUUGUGGCUUGCUCCAGCGUUGGAUUCACGGCCGCCCUUGAAGAUGUUGGAGCUCCUGCACCAUCACCAACAAUAGAGAGUUCUAGCGUAACAUUGCUUGUUCCUGCUGCACUCGUUGCCAUCACUUCCCUAGUUACCUUUUUUGUUUAAUUAUUCACUGUACUUAAAACAUUUGAUCUCCGUGUUUUGUUAUACUUCUUAUAAUUCUUUAUCUGUACUCUGUAAGCUUUGAUGGUUAUUGAGGAUUGAAGUGCUAGAGACUAUUAUCUGAAUCUCAAAGAUGAGUUAAUCGAGGUCAGUUUGUGCAUGUGGGUGAAACAGUAAAUGAAGUGAUUUUAUUUGCACAUGCAACUCAAAUAUAGAGUAAAGAGGUGGCAUUUUGUGCAUGGCAUUAAAUCAUUCAACUCAAUUUUUGUAGUGAAUUUCCUAUACAUAAUCACGGAUAGAAGAAAGGCAAAAAGGGAAAUCAAACAGAGAACAAAUUCUAAUAAAAUUUAGAAGAUAUAAUGAAAACAAAACAGGUGCGGGACGGGCAAGCAAACAUACAAAAGUCUUUAGUUGGUCAUUGUUGUUGCUGCUGAGCCAUGCCCACCUACAACAUCACCUGUCUUUGGUUUCCCUAUGUACAAGGCCUGGUUAAUAAGAGCAACUUCGGCACUUGGCAACCUACACAGAAACUUUGUCACAUAAUUAAAAAUGUUAUCUUUUAUUAUCUCUACCUUACACAUGUCUUUAAUGUUGAUGUAUACAUGUUUUUCUAUUUUGGUAGGGUACCAAAAGUUGGCAAAUUUGCUUGGUACCCUUGUCACUCUAAUGAAG